rnacentral:tRNA from 1 species
GAGGGUAGAGCUCAGUGGUAGAGCGUGUGCUUAGCACACAUGAGGUCCUGGGUUCAAUCCCCAGUGCCUCCA